GGAAUGCUCUUGGGGCCGUGGGGGCACGGUUAGUACGAGAAACCCAGUUAACUUGGGCAGGUUGAUUACGCGCGGCAGGUGUCACGCGCUAAAGUUAUCAAGUUUCGUCUAACCGCGUGAAAUACCUUACGAAUUACAAGCAAGAGUUCUCUCCGCGCCCUUGCCUGUGCCGCAGUUAAUUGCACUCGCGACCAACGAGCACUUUCCGUUUGCGGAAAAGGCGAAACAAGGGACGGAAGAGAGAGUUGACCACCGCAACGCCACUUUCUACGCACCGCAGACUGUUCCCUCAAACUUUACCGCCUUCCUAAUUUCGUUCGUCGCGACUUUUGAUUAUGUCUGAUGCACCAGCCAUUGCAACAAGAAGGUCUAUUUUCUGCAAGUCUGCCAACACUUCUGAACGAAAGUGUACAUAAACACAGUAUCCAAGAGGAAUCAGAGGCAAAGGGUACGGCGUAGGUGAAACACAUGAGAGGAGAGGGAAGGAAAGCAACAAGAUACCAGUUGUCCGUAUAAUCUGUAGAUCUGACCGCGCGUGUUCUGCCCAUGAAUCCCGUGGGUGGUAACCGCCUCGAGGGCCUGAUUUACAGGUGUAACCAGCAAUAACGAUUCACGGGAACGAUCGAAAAAGGUGUAGAAGAAUACUCAAAUAGAAGAAUCAAUCGUAUUCCUGUUUUUGUUGCGUCUCUGCUUUUGUGCAGUGAUACAUAUUUGAAAGAGAAAAACGAGGUUUUUGGGUUUAUACUAUAUUCAUUUAAUUUCUUUAAUCAUUGCAGUUACAUCAUUUUCCAGUUAUUUCAAUUAUCGUUAAUUCAUUUUUAAUAAAAAUGAAUUGAAGUUAUCGGAAAAGAUAUUCUUAGAAAAAUUGAUUGAUAUGUAGAACAUUAAACGAUAUAAAUAAUCGUUCCGUAAAUGUAGUAACGAGAGAUAUAUCAAAGUUAAGUUAAUUCUUUAAAAUGGAACCUUGUAUUUUUAUGUUCAUAAUGGAGGUAUUUAAUAAAUACAAUUUUGGUUGCAGAAUUUGUCCCAUAAAUUAAAAUGUCUAGAAUUUCUAGAACGUCCUAGAAUCUUAAGUAUACAGUUAUGUACGAGUUUUCCAUAUGUCUGCAAAGAAAGAACGCACGUACUGUAAUCGCCCGAUCGGUGAAUGUCUCAAAUGUACAUAAAUGUAUUAAACACCCAUGGUGUUAGGUGGAAGAUAGAUUAAAGAAAACAACGUGAAUAGAUCCGGUGAAACUGUCUUGAUUUACGGCGCUAGAGUGUUAUAUCGACACACGUCUCUGCGUGAAUUGGUCACGUGCGUUUCAACCGAUCGCGCUCCAGUGCUUUCAUCAGGUGAACGUGACCGGUGAUUAUCGAUUAGACGCAUCUUCGAUCUUGCAUAGUAAUGCGAUCGUACAUCGUGAAAUCACGUAAUAGCUGUCGCGAGUGCGCGAAGGGAUUUGCAUCUGUCAAUCCGCAGUUACGACAUUCCCGUCGUGAGUGAGAUUACAAUGAUAUUGUUAUAUCGUUCAUACUUCUUCCUUUUUCUAAUUAAUAAUUGCUUGGAAACAAAGUCGUGGCUCGAUUAUUAUAUGAAAGGUCAUUUUAUAGUUAAUUAUCAAGUGACUUUACUUUAAAAAAUGUCUAUCUCAUCUAUCAUACUCCUCUAUCUUAUAACUUUUUACCAUCAUUUAUAAUUCCAGCACCCGAACAAUUCUUCAUCGUUUAAUCUCAGUGAUACAUAUAAAUCCGGAAGCCACUAUUUUCCGACCUGUACGUUAUACGUAAAACAGAACAAUACGUCAGAAGUAUGUCACAAGGAAACGUUAUAAAGAAAAAGCGUCAAGGAUAUAUCAAAUACGAAGAACAGAGUAAGAAAUGUAUUAAAUACGAAGUAAAAGUAUACAAAGUGUAUUAUAUUCAAAAUGGAACCAAUUACGAACAAUCCAGCAAUCGUAUAUACACAUACAGGAACCAAAAGGAUCAGUUAUGCUGGCAGAGAAUCGAUCAAUUGCCGGAUGAUCGCGUUUGACGCGUCAUCCGGAAAAAGUGACGAAUAAACGGACUAUUUGGAAAAAUGCUGGUCUUCGAAUUUUGUACUCGUUGAUGGCCAAAGGCCCGGACUUCCAGGCUGACAUAUGGGACGCAGCAAAGAGUGCAUGGUCGUCGUCACGUGAACAGGAAUUCAUCGUGAAACCGGUUGGUAUUGCCGCAGGAUCAAUCAACUCUUUUGGCAUUGUUCCCUUGGAAAAUGGCACAGGAUCGUCUCACGAGAUCGGCUUUCAGCCUUCUUUCGUAGGUUCUACGAAUAUCCAUCGUUUCAUAACACACGUUAGAAUACAACGUUCGCUAAAUGCUAUCUUCAACUCCUUUUCAUGUUUUGACAAAAGAACAGUUUUGUGGCACGAUGUAUUCAGCCUUAUAUGUAAUAUUUAUAUUUAGUAAAGCAUUAGUAUAUAGCAUGAAUAGAUAUCUUAACUGUAUAAUAU